UGUUUGUUACGAAACUUAUUUGGGCCUAAUAGGCAUAAAAGGCCGAUUGAAAAGUAAAUACAAAUUAGGGUUUGCUUCUUCUUAUAACUCGUUGGCGAAGAUAUAUAAGGAAGACUCGGAUAACGCAGUUACGCAGACAUUAGCUCUACUAUGGUUCGGACAUGACAUCAUCCUCUUUCUUGCUUCGUUUUGUUUGGUAUGGACGAGUCAGACCUUCCAAGUAGAUUGUUUGAGACAGACUUUGAACCUACCGGCAAAAAAAAAAGGUUAACACCUAUUUCCAGUAUUAUGGCCGGUGGAUUUAAUUUCACAAAGACUUGGGUUGCCAAUGUAUUGGGGUUUAUAUUUACUUAACUUGGGUUUAGUGUUUACUGUCAAGUGUUCUAUUACUAUUCUCAUUAGCUUUGUAUUUCAUGUGGCUCAUGAGGAAUGUAAAUACAUGUCUCUAGUAUUAUGAGAUGUGAAUUCAGUUUCCUAGAGAUUUGGAUUGCUUAUGGAUUGGGGUUUAUAUUUCCCUAACUUGGGUUUAGUGUUUAAUGUUAAGUGUUCUAUUACCAUUCCUAUUA